ACGAACGCUGGCGGCGUGCUUAACACAUGCAAGUCGAACGGAAAGGCCCUGCUUUUGUGGGGUGCUCGAGUGGCGAACGGGUGAGUAACACGUGAGUAACCUGCCCUUGACUUUGGGAUAACUUCAGGAAACUGGGGCUAAUACCGGAUAGGAGCUCCUGCUGCAUGGUGGGGGUUGGAAAGUUUCGGCGGUUGGGGAUGGACUCGCGGCUUAUCAGCUUGUUGGUGGGGUAGUGGCUUACCAAGGCUUUGACGGGUAGCCGGCCUGAGAGGGUGAACGGCCACAUUGGGACUGAGAUACGGACCAGACUCCUACGGGAGGCAGCAGUGGGGAGUAUUGCACAAUGGGCGGAAGCCUGAUGCAGCAACGCCGCGUGCGGGAUGACGGCCUUCGGGUUGUAAACCGCUUUCGCCUGUGACGAAGCGUGAGUGACGGUAAUGGGUAAAGAAGCACCGGCUAACUACGUG
rnacentral:rRNA from 1 species